rnacentral:rRNA from 1 species
GAUGAACGCUGGCGGCGUGCCUAAUACAUGCAAGUCGAGCGAACGGACGAGAAGCUUGCUUCUCUGAUGUUAGCGGCGGACGGGUGAGUAACACGUGGAUAACCUACCUAUAAGACUGGGAUAACUUCGGGAAACCGGAGCUACUACCGGAUAAUAUUUUGAACCGCAUGGUUCAAAAGUGAAAGACGGUCUUGCUGUCACUUAUAGAUGGAUCCGCGCUGCAUUAGCUAGUUGGUAAGGUAACGGCUUACCAAGGCAACGAUGCAUAGCCGACCUGAGAGGGUGAUCGGCCACACUGGAACUGAGACACGGUCCAGACUCCUACGGGAGGCAGCAGUAGGGAAUCUUCCGCAAUGGGCGAAAGCCUGACGGAGCAACGCCGCGUGAGUGAUGAAGGUCUUCGGAUCGUAAAACUCUGUUAUUAGGGAAGAACAUAUGUGUAAGUAACUGUGCACAUCUUGACGGUACCUAAUCAGAAAGCCACGGCUAACUACGUG